rnacentral:lncRNA from 1 species
GAUGGGGAGACAGGGCUGGUUCAGGGGGAUGGGGAUGGGGAGACAGGGCUGGUUCAGGGGUAUGGGGAUGGGGAGACAGGGCUGGUUCAGGGGUAUGGGGAUGGGGAGACAGGGCUGGUUCAGGGGUAUGGGGAGACAGGGCUGGUUCGGGGGUAUGGGGAUGGGGAGACAGGGCUGGUUCAGGGGUAUGGGGAUGGGGAGACAGGGCUGGUUCAGGGGUAUGGGGAGACAGGGCUGGUUCAGGGGGAUGGGGAUGGGGAGACAGGGCUGGUUCAGGGGUAUGGGGAUGGGGAGACAGGGCUGGUUCAGGGAUAUGGGGAUGGGGAGACAGGGCUGGUUCAGGGGUAUGGGGAUGGGGAGACAGGGCUGGUUCAGGGAUAUGGGGAUGGGGAGACAGGGCUGGUUCAGGGGUAUGGGGAUGGGGAGACAGGGCUGGUUCAGGGGGAUGGGGAUGGGGAGACAGGGCUG